rnacentral:rRNA from 1 species
AAUAGCUAAUUGCAUUACAUUGUAAUGCAAUAUCGACGAUGUUGAAUAAAAUUCUGGGUAAGAUUAUGAUCAUGACAUUGCUUACCCAUGUGUCUUGACCAAAUUACGUGCCAGCAGUCGCGGUAAUACGUAGAAGACUAGUGUUAUUCAUCUUUAAUAGGUUUAAAGGGUACCUAGACGGUAAAUCAAGCCCUUGCAUGGCAAGAUGGGACUAAUUUACUAGAGUUACUUACAAAGAGGCUAUAAAGUACUAAUGGUGUAGAGAUAUAAUUUUGUAAUACCAUUUCUCGAAAGAGAAGUUAUGGCACUGAUAAAGGCGAAAGCAUCCUCUUAUGUGAUAACUGACGUUGAGGGACGAAGGCUUUGGGUCGCGAAUAGGAUUAGAUACCCUAGUAGUCGAAGCAGACAAUGAUGAGUGUCAUAGAUUAGACUCAUUUAAGUUUAUUCUAUAAAUGAAAGUGUAAGCACUCCACCUCAAGAGUAAUUUGGCAACAUUGGAACUGAAAUCAUUAGACCGUUUCUGAAACCAGUAGUGAAGUAUGUUGUUUAAUUUGAUAAUCCGCAAAACACCUUACCACAACUUGAAUAUAAAUAAACCCUAAAGGGAUAUUUUUACAAGCGUUGCACGGCUGUCUACAGUUAAUGUCGUGAGACUUUGGUUAGAUCCAUUAAAUUAACGCAAGCCCCUACUUUAUUUAUAAAUAAAGUCGUUCCCCCCCUAUAUUGGAUAUGAUAACAGGGACUAAGACAAGUCAUCAUGGCCUGAAUGUUGUGGG